GCCAGUCUAGCGAUAGCAGAUAUGCAACGGGCAGUUUAUCGAUAGCAGCUACGUUGUUCACAACGAUAAUUGUAAAAGUAAGUUAGUUAAUCAAUUAAUUAGUAAUUGAAAUAAUUGUUCAUUAAAUUUGUUAUUAAGUUAGCAUACAACCGUGUUUGACUCGGAUAGCCUGACAAGCACAACCUUGAAGACCGCAAACCCAUAUCUUUUUGUGUAUUUUCUUUUUCAGGCCUUACAUGAUUUGUGUUUUUUUGUAUUCAUAAUUAUUAACCAACGUUUCUUUUAAGAACCAUUUUCUAAGUUGUCGGUUUUGGUUUUGUGUGCUGUUAGUAUGGCAGGUAAGAAUUUUUAACAAAUAAUCCAUAGUUCAUUUAAACAGAACAUACAAAAAUAUUCAUGGUAAAAUUUUUAAGCUCACAUUUAUAUGUAAAUGGUUUUCAUAAAUUGAAAUGCAUAUCAUUGUGUAUAUUUUAUUACCUCUAAUACAAUCCUUGUGUAGGUGUUCGUUUUGUUUAUGAAGUAGAUGACAUCUACUCAGGGACAGACAGUUGCCCUUAUUGCAAACCUGGGGUGCUGUCAAGUCCAGUCCACUGACCAUAGUGGUUAUGGACAUUCUGACUGUGUAUUCAUGUUCAGGUUUUAAUUUAAUUAUUAGGAACUGUUCUGUGUUCCUUCUACAGUUGAAGUUCUUUGCAUGUGUUGCAUUUAAUUAUUUAUUGAUUUAAAUUAUCUAUACAGAUUAGAAUAAUCUGGAACUGUUCAUUGUUCCAUGUAAUUUAGUCAUAUUAGUCAUGUGGUUAUGUUCUACAUUUUGUUAUAUUGCCUUUCAUAGGCAUAGACAGUAGCAUUCAAAGUAUAAGAUAAAUGUCUCGUAGUUGUCUCGUAGUAGACAGUGUCGUUGUUAGAUACUUAUUACAUUUUAAAUUGUCUUGCUAUUGUCUAUGCCUACAACAAUGUUAUGAGUUAUUCUCUCUUUCUCUGUACACACAUACAUACUCAUUAUGUCUUCUUUUUUAAAGCAAAAUUGCAAUAAAGCUAGUUCCAGGACCUUGGAAACUUCUUAAGCAUAAGGAUGUUCCAGCACAGUCGGGAUCUGUUGACUGCAGUGUAUUCAUUCUAAUGGUAAGCAAUAAUUACCUUGUAGGGGUUUUCCUCAACACAACAUUAAUGUUUGACAGAACCAGUUUUAAGAUGGUUCUAUGAAAUCUAACCCAUUGGUAGGUUUUAUUAAUUGUGCAUAAUGUGCAAAUAUUCAUAAUUCUAAAAAAUGUGCAUCUACAUGACAGUAUGCACUGUAUAAGACAUUUGACUGGGAGUUUGACUUCACUCAGGUAAGAACUAUCCUCCCUAUAUGUUUAAGUAAUUGCUUCAGAAAAUAUAAAAUGUCAUUACCAAAUUUCCUGCUUUUCAGCAUGAUAUGGGCAAUAUCAGGCGGUGGUGGGUGAAUCUGCUCUUAACAGAAAUUACACGUGGAAGUUGCCAGAUGCAGUUCUUCAGGAAAUCUUCCUCAAUGUGGUCCUUGAAGAGGGUGAUGAUGAUGCAAUUUUAAAGUUGUCUCUGGUUUGCCCAAAAUUCAGAUGUUUGGUGGGAACAGACAAAUUUCGAAGGAUGGCACAUUUCCGCUGGCUUGACAGUGUUGCAGAAUGGAAAACAAAGUCUAAGACAUUUGUGGAAAACUUUCACAAAAGGUACAAGCUGGACAUCUGCAGACACUGCAAUGAGACACUAUACAUAAAAACAUGAUCACGGCUUCCUUAUUUAAUGACAAAAUGUGAAGAAGAAGAAUUGACAUGCAUGUGCACCGUUAAUAAGUUUUCAUAUGAAUCCUUUAGGUUAUCUUGGAAGAGGAAAACGGGGAGAGAUGCAAGGGUUUUGCAGUGAUUGGUGCCAGAUGCUGGAGGAGUAAUUAACGUACAGUAUUCACAGUUUUAGACUUAAUUUUAAUCAAACAAUUACAUUUUACUUGACAUGCUUGUCACCGCAAAAUAUGUUUUACAAAUAAAGGUCAUUAAUGAGCGUGUUCUUUUUCAUAUCUUGCAUUAUAUAUGAUGUUUAAUUUGAUAAAUAUCAAUACAAACUAUUUUUUCCACUAUAAACAUAUUGUAAUAAAGGUAGGUAAA